ensembl:lncRNA
GCAUGACAUUUACCCACAGUAUGUAAGCUCAUUUCAUUUCAAGACAUUCGACACCUGUGUGACUAAGCUUGUAGAUAUGGAUUUUUUUGUCUCAUAGAAAUAAGUAAUGGAUGUGUGUUUGGAGAAAGGAAGGAAGUAUGGAUUUAGCGUGUUGGUUUUGUGACGACGAUGACCGACUCGCAUCUGAGAGGCUAAGCUAUGGGCACUGUAGUAAAGGACAGCGAAAAGUAACCGUCUGAGGGGUGCAAAGGUCAAAGGACUAGGAAGAGAUGGCCAUUACGAAUCAUAAAGGAUUACCAGAUGAGCCUAGACACUUUACUGCUCCUCCUGAAGAUGUCUUCAAAGAUGUCCCAGUCAAUGCACCUUUUCAAAGCUGUUUAAGUGCAGCAGCCGUUCACUGAUGAAGGUUUGCACAGCCAUCAAAAAGCUCACCAAAGUUUUCGCUCUCCGUGAAAACUUGCUCACCUGUAGGAAGCAGUUCUUUCCUGGUUCCAGUUUUCUGAGGGUUGGAAGAACAUUCCAUCAGUUUCCCACCCAACAGACACAGAACGUUUGCCAUGUUCUACAUGAUAUUAAUGGGAAUGUCGCUGGAUAAUUUCUUUAUCGAUUCUCAGGAUAUUGCUUGAUGGUCCCAAAGAUAUAUUCUUCCCUCCCAAAAUUGCCACUUGUUUCGGUUUCUGAGCUAAUAACUCCCUGAUUUGUGAACUAAUGAUCCAUUCAUAGGUAUUUAGUCUGUUAGCAUGGUUGAAUCUUUUUUUUUUUUUUUACAUUGGACAUGAUUAUUUAAAUAGAAAUUAAUGUUCCACAUGUCCUUAGCUGGGAUUUAAACUCCCAAACUCUUAGUUCAGAGCUUCCCAUGACACCAUGGAAUCCCCUCCCAAGUGAUCAAGAUGUAAGUUUGCUCUAAUCAACAUGCAGAUUAAAAACAACUAUUUUAAAUGCUCGGCUAUAUACAUAUACAGUGCCUUGCUAAAUAUUCAGACCUCCGACUAAUUCUCUCCUCUUACUGACCUACAAAAUGGUACAUUGACAUUUCAUUCUGGUUUAAAGUUGAAUUUUAAACACUGAAAAUCAAAACAAGUUGUUGGAAAUAUUUGUAAGAAAAAUAAACACUGUUGUUGUUUGCCUUAGUAUUUACCCAAAUGCUGUGGAAUCUCCCAGUUUACAGAGAUGAAAGAAAUGGUGACAUCACUGCUGGAUUGGCCCUCCUCCUCCAAUCCAGUGUUCGGCAUCUCCCUCCUAUUAACAAUGGUUACAGUCACCAGGGAAGCGCGAGGUCCCAUGAGGGCAUGAACUGAGCAUUACGCACCUGUGUUUUAUUUGGGAAUCAGGGGGGUAUUUAGGAUGUAGGCUGACACCGGUGCGUUGUUGGUGAUUAUCUGUGUCUGUUAGAGGAAGGGCUUUGCAGUCUGCACCUGCACGCCGAGUUUACAGUAGGUUAUGUGUAUUCUGGUUUUGUUUUAUAGACUAGUUUUCAUGUUUCAGGCCCAGGGCUGUUGUUUUUUUGUUUCUCUGUUUUCUGGAUGUUGGAUUUAACUUCCCAUUGGUGUCUACCUGUGAACCAUUAAAGUUGCUGUCACAUUUUCUAGAUAAAAUUCUUUGGUG